GUGCUCUUUUAAGGUUGGUGCUGUACCUUAAGAGGCUCACACAGAAGGGUAAAGAAACUCUUCAUCAAACCCAGAGAAGAGCUGUACACCUCCUCCUCUUUGGAUCCUGUCUGGAGUCACAGAU
ensembl:snoRNA Gm24233 predicted gene, 24233